UCCUGGUUAACCCAGGCAGUCUCAUUAGAGUUCCCACCUAAAAGUGCUGGCAACUAAUGAUAAGGGUUGCGCUCGUUGCGGGACUUAACCCAACACCUCACGGCACGAGCUGACGACAGCCAUGCAGCACCUGUGUAACGGUCCUUGCGGAAAGCGACAUUUCUGCCGCGGUCCAUUACAUGUCAAGUCUGGGUAAGGUCCUUCGUGUAGCAUCGAAUUAAACCACAUGCUCCACUGCUUGUGCGGGCCCCCGUCAAUUCUUUUGAGUUUCACCCUUGCGAGCGUACUCCUCAGGCGGUAUACUUAUCGCGUUAGCUACGACACAGCUGGGGUUGAGACCAACUACAUCAAGUAUACAUCGUUUACGGCAAGGACUAC
rnacentral:misc_RNA from 1 species